UACAGAGGUCUCAAGCGUUGUUCGGAUUCAUUGGGCGUAAAGGGUGCGUAGGCGGCGCGGUAAGUCGGGUGUGAAAUCUCGGAGCUUAACUCCGAAACUGCAUUCGAUACUGCCGUGCUUGAGGACUGGAGAGGAGACUGGAAUUUACGGUGUAGCGGUGAAAUGCGUAGAUAUCGUAAGGAAGACCAGUGGCGAAGGCGGGUCUCUGACAGUUCCUGACGCUGAGGCACGAAGGUCAGGGGAGCAAACGGGG
rnacentral:rRNA from 1 species